GGUUAAGUGACGAAGCGUAGACGGUGGAUGCCUAGGCAGUUGGAGGCGAUGAAGGACGUACUAACUUGCGAUAAGCCAUGAUGAGGCAGUAAGAGCCGCAUGAGUCAUGGAUUUCCGAAUGGGGAAACCCAGUGUGCUUGCACACUAUCCUUAACUGAAUUCAUAGGUUAAGGAAGCGAACCCGGAGAACUGAAACAUCUAAGUACCCGGAGGAAAAGAAAUCAACCGAGAUUUCCCUAGUAGCGGCGAGCGAACGGGAAUUAGCCCUUAAGCAAUCAUGGUGUUAGUGGAAUGAGCUGGAAAGCUCGACGAUACAGGGUGAUAGUCCCGUACACGACGAUGCCAUGGAUGUGAAAACGAGUAGGUCGGGACACGUGUUAUCUUGACUGAAUAUGGGGGGACCAUCCUCCAAGGCUAAAUACUCCCAACUGACCGAUAGUGAACCAGUACCGUGAGGGAAAGGCGAAAAGAACCCCGGCGAGGGGAGUGAAAUAGAACCUGAAACCGUCUACGUACAAGCAGUAGGAGCACCUUCGUGGUGUGACUGCGUACCUUUUGUAUAAUGGGUCAGCGACUUAUAUUUUGUAGCAAGGUUAACCGUAUAGGGGAGCCGUAGGGAAACCGAGUCUUAACUGGGCGCUUAGUUGCAAGGUAUAGACCCGAAACCGGGCGAUCUAGCCAUGGGCAGGUUGAAGAUUGAGUAACAUCAAUUGGAGGACCGAACUCACUAAUGUUGAAAAAUUAGGAGAUGACCUGUGGCUCGGAGUGAAAGGCUAAUCAAGCCCGGAGAUAGCUGGUUCUCCCCGAAAGCUAUUUAGGUAGCGCCUCGGACGAAUACCACUGGGGGUAGAGCACUGUUUGGGCUAGGGGGUCAUCCCGACUUACCAACCCCAUGCAAACUCCGAAUACCAGUGAGUACUAUCCGGGAGACACACGGCGGGUGCUAACGUCCGUCGUGAAGAGGGAAACAACCCAGACCGCCAGCUAAGGUCCCGAAGUCAUGGCUAAGUGGGAAACGAUGUGGGAAGGCUCAGACAGCUAGGAGGUUGGCUUAGAAGCAGCCACCCUUUAAAGAAAGCGUAAUAGCUCACUAGUCGAGUCGGCCUGCGCGGAAGAUGUAACGGGGCUAAGCCAUGCACCGAAGCUGCGGCUACAUACUCUGUAUNNNNNNNNNNNNNNNNNNNNNNNNNNNNNNNNNNNNNNNNNNNNNNNNNNNNNNNNNNNNNNNNNNNNNNNNNNNNNNNNNNNNNNNNNNNNAUGUAUGUGGGGUAGGGGAGCGUUCUGUAAGCCGUUGAAGGUGGAUUGAGAAGUCUGCUGGAGGUAUCAGAAGUGCGAAUGCUGACAUGAGUAACGAUAAUGGGAGUGAAAAACUCCCACGCCGGAAGACCAAGGUUUCCUAUCCCAUGCUAAUCAGGGUAGGGUAAGUCGGCCCCUAAGGCGAGGCCGAGAGGCGUAGUCGAUGGGAAUCAGGUUAAUAUUCCUGAACCGAUAUAUACUGCGAUGGGGGGACGGAGAAGGCUAGGCAAGCCGGGUGUUGGUAAUCCCGGUGAAAGUAUGUAGGUUGGCGGCUUAGGUAAAUCCGGGCUGCUAAGACUGAGAUACGAGACGAGUACCUACGGGUGCGAAGUUGUUGAUGCCAUGCUUCCAGGAAAAGCCUCUAAGCUUCAGGUAUAUAUUGACCGUACCCGAAACCGACACAGGUGGUCAGGUAGAGAAUACUAAGGCGCUUGAGAGAACUCGGGUGAAGGAACUAGGCAAAAUAGUACCGUAACUUCGGGAGAAGGUACGCCAGAGCUAGUGAACCCCUUGCGGGGGGAGCUGGAGCUGGCCGCAGUGACCAGGUGGCUGGGACUGUUUAUUAAAAACACAGCACUCUGCAAACACGAAAGUGGACGUAUAGGGUGUGACACCUGCCCGGUGCCGGAAGGUUAAUUGAUGGGGUUAGCGUAAGCGAAGCUCUUGAUCGAAGCCCCGGUAAACGGCGGCCGUAACUAUAACGGUCCUAAGGUAGCGAAAUUCCUUGUCGGGUAAGUUCCGACCUGCACGAAUGGUGUAACCAUGGCCACGCUGUCUCCACCCGAGACUCAGUGAAAUUGAAAUCGCCGUGAAGAUGCGGUGUACCCGCGGCUAGACGGAAAGACCCCGUGAACCUUUACUACAGCUUGGCACUGAACAUUGAACCUCCAUGUGUAGGAUAGGUGGGAGGCUUAGAAGCACUGGCGCUAGUUGGUGUGGAGCCAUCCUUGAAAUACCACCCUUGUAUGUUUGAUGUUCUAACUUAGCCCCCUUAUCGGGGGUGAGGACAGUGCCUGGUGGGUAGUUUGACUGGGGCGGUCUCCUCCCAAAGAGUAACGGAGGAGCACGAAGGUUGGCUAAGUACGGUCGGACAUCGUACGGUUAGUGUAAUGGCACAAGCCAGCUUAACUGCGAGACAGACACGUCGAGCAGGUACGAAAGUAGGUCAUAGUGAUCCGGUGGUUCUGAAUGGAAGGGCCAUCGCUCAACGGAUAAAAGGUACUCCGGGGAUAACAGGCUGAUACCGCCCAAGAGUUCAUAUCGACGGCGGUGUUUGGCACCUCGAUGUCGGCUCAUCACAUCCUGGGGCUGUAGUCGGUCCCAAGGGUAUGGCUGUUCGCCAUUUAAAGUGGUACGCGAGCUGGGUUUAGAACGUCGUGAGACAGUUCGGUCCCUAUCUGCCGUGGGCGUUUGAGAGUUGAGAGGGGUUGCUCCUAGUACGAGAGGACCGGAGUGAACGAACCUCUGGUGUUCGGGUUGUCAUGCCAAUGGCACUGCCCGGUAGCUAUGUUCGGAAUCGAUAACCGCUGAAAGCAUCUAAGCGGGAAGCGAGCCUCAAGAUAAGCUCUCACUAGCACGUAAGUGCUCUGAAGGGUUGUUGAAGACGACGACGUUGAUAGGCGGGAUGUGGAAGCGUAGUAAUGCGUUGAGCUAACCCGUACUAAUUGCCCGUGAGGCUUAACCAU
rnacentral:rRNA from 1 species